GCAUGUUUGUAUUUGUGGAGUAACUCCCGGCCAGCGCAGCUCCUGCGGCUGACCGGGAGUUGAUCGUCGCUGCCACUGCCCGCAGCGGCUGCGUCCCCCCCCCCAACGGUCCGGCCAUACCUGCUCCUCCUCCUUCUCACCUGCCUGCACCGAGGGAUUCGGAGAUGUCAGCACGAGGAGCCUGACUGCCAGCGGCGAGAUGACAUGCUGCCAUACCUCCUGACUGGCAUCGGUUGACCCCCACUGGUCACGGACCAUUGACCAGGCCCUGCACGGUAACUGGCAAAGGGUGGAGCUUGGAGACGCUGGACUCAUCCCAGAAAAGUGGAGAACAGAACAUCAUGUGUCGCAUUCCUGUUGGUCGCAAGUGGAAAGGCAGUCGUCUUGAAGCAGAAAGAACAAAGAACAUAUCGUGGACCACCUAGAUUGGGGCAAAAAAAACACAUAGCUGACGUAUAAGAAUAUUGGGAUCCGAGUAGCAGCAGCCACAUGUUGAUUGCAGAGCCACAUGGGAUUAACGAGGUGUGACCAAUACAUACUGCAGAGAACACGCCCAGGAGCCCGUCACAAGACUGCAAUCCCGUCACUCUUUCCUUAUGGUCUAUUGCCAAGUCAUGCUCGUGGUGCACUCUGGGAGAUCAGCUGUAUAGAAGAGUUAUGCAAUGUACACAGGGACAUACUCUAUAUACAGCCUCAUUCACUAAACCUUCCCGGACAAAUAAAGGUGUAAUCAUAUGGAG